ACUCAAACCAGCUGUAUUAAGGAAGGUGCAAGCUUUUGGGAUUUCUGUUUGGAUUUAGUUUAGGUUCAAAAGAGCACGCACAGAUCCUGAGUGUUGUCAAGCACCCGUGACUGGGAAACGGAGGCGUCCGAUCCGUAUUGGAGUCAAUUCGCCACUUAAUUGGGAAGCAGUUGAUUGAGAAUAAUGGUUCUGUUUUGGAGGUUGAUGGAAGAUGCCCUUUGGCCAGGAAAACAGCUCAUGCUUUUAGAGGAGGAUAAUUGCCAGAAGGCCUCUCUGAAUAAAAAAAAAUCCUGACCUCACAGCCUUUGCGCUUACUUGGGUUAGAAUGCCACAGUGAACAUUGCCCCUUGUCAUCACGUAGAGGUGCUCACAGGUAAAGCAACACAAGGAGCAUAUAGGAUCACCUGCUGGAUCUUGUUUUUAACACCAGGGAGGAAAAUGGUGUCUUGGGUAAUGAACAUGCCUCAAGACUGAGCUGGCCAUCUUCAGUGUCAUCCAAACCCUCAGUGGCCCCUGAAAAACCCUUUGAAAAGAUUCAGCACGUUGCCAUGGAGAACAUCCCACUGAAGGAAUGUAUAGAAGUAGCAGGUGUCAGCUGCCUACCAGUUGCUUUCAUCUCUAGAAAUCUGUGACUUGCAGUAUGACAAGAACAAAAGGUGACAAUACAAAGGACAAAGGGCAAGGAAUACAGACGGAGAAGCCGCUUAGAGUCUAGGAUGGCAGAGGUUCUCUUGAUCAUUUCAUUUUUGAGCGCUUGUAGAGCUUUGGUGUACCAGAGGUGCUUGAACAGCUUACCACACCACAGAUGAAUGGCCUUUGGAUUUCUCCUAAGAAAAUGUGGCUACCUGAAAUUCAACUCCAUUUUCUGGUCUUCAAUAUUUCUUUUGUGUUCAGUUUGCCAGCUGAGGAGAAGUGGCUAAGCAUAGCCUGUUACUGAUGCUAAAGCCCAAGUUCUGAACCUAACAACUCCAGCAACAUGAUCCUGUUUCAAGAGACAAAAAAGUGACUAAUGAAAGAAAACAAUUGAUGUGCUAUGUAGAGUUUAAAAGAAGAGAGAAACACACCAAGGAAUUUCUGGUGGUAUUCCACUUCCAAGGAUCCUCGAGGUUUCUGCUGGAUGGAGCCACUGCUGCUGACUUUGGUGUUUGCUAUUGGACUGGACUGCUGAUAUCCUGACAACAAAGAUUGGAACUACCCCUAAAAACUACUUCUAAGACUGAAAGGUAUGAAGAUCUGUGGCAAGAGGCAUGUCAGAGAAUAAGCCGAAGAAUUCUGUUAUUUUAUAGCAUUAGAUCUUCUUUCCUGUCAAAUCUGUCACUUGUGCCCUGACUCUGGCUGGGAUGAAGAGAACAAGAUGGAAAUAAAGAUAUGGAAUGCAGUGUACACUAUGUGUUUCUGCACUAACUUCCUGAAUGACUUCCUGGAUUGUGUUGCUGGAGAUGGCUCUCUGUGGACUCCUGUAUCAAUGUUUCCCUGGCAUGGGGGCAGAGCAGUCUCAGUGGUAUGUUUCUAGCUGCUGUCCCAGCCUAAAGGAUUUAAUUAUGCGUGAAGAGUUGAAACUGGAUUAUUUCUUGUUUCUUGAAUGUUGUAUGUUCCAGGCUUUGAGCCUUAGCCUACCUGAAACUCUUUCUUGCUAUCUACAGACAACCUUAUGUUUCUGGGGUCAUCUCAAAUGCUGUUCUUUCUAUAAAAUAUUUGUCCUAGAA
rnacentral:lncRNA from 1 species